CUUGAGAAAACGCCUCACCUUGAGAGAUUAAAAUCUGCUUAAAAAAAUCCUAAAGAAGCUGAUGUAGCUACAGAAUUGAAAUGGUUUUACAGAGACGAAAUAGUAAUUUUGGCCACGGGAUAAUGCUGGCAUCCUGCAUGCCCGCGGUGGGACGCCAGGCUCAGCCAGCUUCAAAGCUGGACUUGUGUUUAAUGCAGAGCUGACUUUGUGCUGAGCAAGACUGCCAACUGGAAAAGUGCCGACGGAGCGGGGCUCACUGAGGUCUGCUGUCUGUGUCAGUGUGGGGUUAUCUUCCUGGAGGAGCUCAGCUGUGUUUGAUAAAGCAGGAAAUUUUAUUUGCAGUGGGACUAGAUGUGCUGAUGAUCUGGCUGAAGAGAGCAACGUGAGGCUUAGCCAUCAGGCGGGAUAUAAGACCACUUCAGAUCAGCCACUUGGAAGAAAGGGAUGCUAGAAUUAAUAAGCCAAUAGUUACCCUCUGUUUGUGGCACACCAAUAUUCUUAAAACUAUAUUUUAAAGUAAUUGUCUUGGAGUCAAUGUAAGAAUAAGUCUGGAGCCCAAUGGAACACUCCAAAUACAGAUAAAUAUAAUAUAGCUGCUCAUAUUGAGCUGUCUGCACAACAGGGUGUUCAGGGCUGACGUUCAGGGCUUAGGGAAGUUCUACAUCCUUAAUGCUCACAGCCUACAGUGGGCACAGGAGGUACUGGCUUGCUGAGUGCAGCUGUGCUGAAAUGGAUGAGGGUUGAAAUUAGGAAAUAAUACAUUGAUUAAAACCCCCCAGAUUACUAGCAGAUGACUUAUUAUUACUCUUGGUUGGACCUGCUCAAAUAAAAGGGAGGUGGGAAUCCAAGAUGCCAGCCUGGUCUCGCUGCCUGACCCCACUCAGAUCAGGCUUUGCAAGCCCUCAAAGCAAAUCCUCUGCAGAAAUUAUGUACUUUCCUAUGCAAAAACAUCCCUCCACUUUCUGGAAAUUUAUUAACAUCGGGUUUACUGUGGCCUUAACUAAAAUGUUAAACAUUCUCCGUCUACCAUUCUCCUUGCAGUCAAAAAAGAACUCUGCCUCUUCAGGUAAUGCUCCAUGCUCUGCUCUGCCGUGGCCACAGGGCUGUUGGAGUCUCAGCCACCACUGCAUCCUCUUGCUGUAAGUUGAACAGUGACUGGAGUACACGGCUCUGCCGUUGGUUGUGUAGGUUCAGAGCACGUUGUGGCCAUCAAGCCAUGCACAGCAUCACGUGCAGGCAAGUGUGGGGCAAAAUCCUUGCUAAUACGGGAGUUUGAGUUUCACUUCUGGAAACACCAGUGCUCUGACCUUUGUAAAUUGGGAUGGGCUUCUUGUCUGGGUCACUGUUUGCAGCUGGCUUUCUGGACAAGUGUCAAAGACACCACAGACUGCCAAGGGUUAGAUGCUGAAGUGCUUAAUUAAAUGAGUCUCUGGGCAGUGGCAAUUUGCAUGGUACAAGCACACAGCAGGGCUCUUUUUUUUUUUUUUUCCUUUUUUUGUUUUUAAAGAUAGUGUUCGGAACUGGUUAAAAAAAUGACUUUUUUUUUGGUCUUGCUUUGUGUUUUGCUAAUACAAGCAAUUGGAAAAUAUGACCAAUACUCCCCUGUGUUUCCCAGAUUUAAAACAAGACGUGCAAGAGCCUUGUUCAUCUUUGAGUUUUGUGCCGCUAGCAUGAGCUUGCAUCCCUUUUCCAGGAAUUUUCUUUUGUCUGAAAAUAAGGGACAAAUAAAAUCCCAAGAAGGAAAAAAGAAACCCAAAGGAAAACUGAGUUUCUUUACCAACCGGUCUGUGAGGACUGUAAGUCACCCGAGCAUCCUGCGUGAAGGCGCUGAAGGUCAUUAACAGCAGCGUGCAAAGGUUCCAGUACCUCCUCCCACCAGGCUCUGCAGGGCUGACCUUUUGUGCUGUACACGCCACUGAACUGAGUUAUGGGCAUCAACUCAGCUGGUGCAGAGAGCAGAUGGAGCCAAGAACGUAACAAGUUGCACUGGUCGUGCUCCAACCACCCUGAUCCACCUGCCCAGGCUGCAAUUCCCACCUCACCGUCCUGGGCAGCCGCGGGACUGCAGCAUCUAAGGUAUGUUGGGAAAUACUUUAGACUGGGCUGAAACACCCGGCUCACACUGCGCGGAAUAAACCCCCAAAUGAAUAGUUGCAGCUCUGUGAUUGCAGCUCCUUCAUUGCUGCCAACACGGCCCCUCCUGGGCUGCAGCUCAGUCCCAGUGUUCGGGAUCGAGCCCCAAAUCAGCGCCUUUGCAUUUUGGGGGCAUCCUGAUUUUUACAAUGUGUGAGCAAGAGGUGAGGUUGGUGCCUGCUCGCGUCUAUUCUCUGUUUUCAGGGUCAUUUAAAAAAAAAUCCUUAUAGCCUUGCUAUUGCAUUCUUCAUUUUUACAGAUCGCUGUUAAAAAAGAACCACCCCUCUUGCUGGAGGCAGGUUAAAAAGCAAGGUGACAUUUCAGAGUGCUCUCUUCCCAGGCUCACCGUGCUUGCUGGGAAUUUGUCCUGUCCUCAACACCAAAGAUCACUGCACAAUCCCUUUUUAAAAGAAACACAGAGGUUUUCCUGGUCUCCAGAUGCUGGGAUUGCACUGUGUUAUAGAACAAGCAAGAUUCCCUCUGCAGGUUUUCUAUGAGAAAAAUUACCCGAGCAUGAGGUGGCGCGUCACAGAGGACAGGGAAACCCUGGAGUCGAGUGGCCCAGUCCCAGGGAUGAAGAGCAACAGCGAUGCAUGUGAAGGUCAUCAGGACUCGUGUGUCUCUCCGGCAAAGCCAUGUUCAUGGAGGUCAACACAACCAAGCGGCCAAGCUCCUUCAAGGGAAACUUACCAUAGGCAUAAUAAAAUAUCCAAGAAGUCAUAAAAGAUAACACGAGAGCAGUGUUUGGCCUUGGUAAACCACAUUGAGGAUGACUGCAAUGUAUGGAUACAGCUUCGUUCAAGAAAGGAGUUGUGCAU